rnacentral:rRNA from 1 species
GACGAACGCUGGCGGCGUGCUUAACACAUGCAAGUCGAACGGAAAGGCCUCUUUCGGGGGGUACUCGAGUGGCGAACGGGUGAGUAACACGUGAGUAACCUGCCCUUGACUUUGGGAUAACUUCAGGAAACUGGGGCUAAUACCGGAUAGGAGCUCCUGCUGCAUGGUGGGGGUUGGAAAGUUUCGGCGGUUGGGGAUGGACUCGCGGCUUAUCAGCUUGUUGGUGGGGUAGUGGCUUACCAAGGCUUUGACGGGUAGCCGGCCUGAGAGGGUGACCGGCCACAUUGGGACUGAGAUACGGCCCAGACUCCUACGGGAGGCAGCAGUGGGGAAUAUUGCACAAUGGGUGGAAGCCUGAUGCAGCAACGCCGUGUGUGGGAUGACGGCCUUCGGGUUGUAAACCGCUUUCGCUCAUGACGAAGCUUUGUGUGACGGUAGUGGGUAAAGAAGCACCGGCUAACUACGU